AAAAACUCCGGUGGUAUGGGAUGGAUCCGCGUCUGAUUAGCUGGUUGGUGAGGUAACGGCCCACCAAGGCGACGAUCAGUAGCCGACCUGAGAGGGUGGCCGGCCACAUUGGGACUGAGACACGGCCCAAACUCCUACGGGAGGCAGCAGUGGGGAAUAUUGCACAAUGGGGGAAACCCUGAUGCAGCAACGCCGCGUGAGUGAAGAAGUAUUUCGGUAUGUAAAGCUCUAUCAGCAGGGAAGAAGAAAGACGGUACCUGACUAAGAAGCCCCGGCUAACUACGUGCCAGCAGCCGCGGUAAUACGUAGGGGGCAAGCGUUAUCCGGAUUUACUGGGUGUAAAGGGAGCGUAGACGGCUGUGCAAGUCUGAAGUGAAAGCCCGUGGCUCAACCGCGGAACUGCUUUGGAAACUGUAUAGCUUGAGUACUGGAGAGGCAGGCGGAAUUCCUAGUGUAGCGGUGAAAUGCGUAGAUAUUAGGAGGAACACCAGUGGCGAAGGCGGCCUGCUGGACAGAAACUGACGUUGAGGCUCGAAAGCGUGGGGAGCAAACAGGAUUAGAUACCCUGGUAGUCCACGCGGUAAACGAUGAAUGCUAGGUGUUGGGG
rnacentral:rRNA from 1 species